rnacentral:lncRNA from 1 species
CAAGAAUUGGUUUGUAGCACAAUAUUUCAACUAUGUCCUUUAAAAAGUUUCUCCACAGACACUACCCAAAGCAGUGCUUCACUACAGUGGCAGACAGACCUGAAAAUUUUCAUCUGAAGCAGCAGAGUGAACUGCAGAGGCAGGUCACCAACCAGUGUGGAGGCUAAAAGCGGGCCUCUUUGGGGAUUCCAGGUGGAAGUGUUGGACAUCUGUAGUAUUCCUGGUCUCGAAUCAUCCUGAUAUUCUUCAUUUUGUUAUUCACAUUGGACUAGGCAGGAACAAAGAUCACCACAACUGGCUCCCCUUCAACUAUGUUAGAUGGCAACUUGCCUUCAGUAUGGUGAAACACAUCAAAUUUCUCUUGCCUGACACAGCAUAGGAAGAUGCUGAACGGCCACACAGUGAUCCAUUGAGAUAGAAUCUCACUAUGUUGACCAGGCUGGUCUUGAACUCUUGGCACCCAAGCGAUCCUUUUGCCUGGAAUCCCAAAGUGUCAGAUUUACUGAAGAAUAUUUCAUUGUAAUUACUUUUUAUACUUUAUAGGUCAAGAGCUCUGUUUUAAAUACAAAAUUUAUU